AUUGUUCCCUGGGCCAGAGGCAGCGACAGCGAGGGGCCUCUGUCAUGUUUGGGCCACAGCCAGCAGUCCACCUUUUCUCCUGUAAGCACCUUCCUUUUCCAUCUGGGGAGGGAAGCUGAGAUGGCCCAUCAGUUUGACAGGCAGCCUUGUCCCUGGUCCCUUGGGGCUGCCUCGUGAUUCAUACCAGGAACUAAGAACCCAGUAGUUUCUCAGCCUCUGAAGUUGGGUGCCAGAGCAGGCCCAAUUGGUGUUGAAGACCUGGAGGGUUCCUGGAGUGCCACUGGUCCUCAGUUACCUUUGGGAGCCUGGAAGCAUGGAUUAAUAGCACCGAAGAAGAAGCAGCAGGGGUGACAAGAAAGAGAAGAGAUGCUUAAAAGUCCUUCUAAGUCACGGACCUCAUGCAGAACAUUCCCAUUCAAGGGUCUAAAUGCACACAGAGUGUUGACCCUAUCUUCAUGAAGACACACCAUGGCUACAGUAGACAGCACCUCACUCUGUAAUCUGUUCAUCGAUCUCCCUGUAGAGCCCUAUCUGGGUGUGGGUGUGGCUAUGCACUGUUUCUCCAUCCAGACACACAGACAAAUUUUCUCAUACCAGUCAUCAGAGAGGACAGGAACCCAGCUCCUGCAACAGCCUGAGGUAUGCUUUCAUGUCUGUCUGGCCAUUUUUGAACAAUGUGUUCAGAAAACUCUGCUUUGGAGAGUGCAGAAGUUCCUUUUGUUGAAGCACAGGUAGUCUGCUGUUGAACCCAAGAUUGACUCAAGGGAAUUUAAAUAGGAGCUCUUUCUACGAUGACCUCCAGGAAGAAGCUGAAAGGACACCUCUCCCCCCUUUUUGGUGGAAAUUAAGCUCCCAGGUUUCGGCACCAGAUGUCCUGCGAGAUCGUCUUGCCAGCAAGAACGACACAGGACACUCGGAUCCUUCUGCAGUAAAGCUUUAAUGCAUCUUGAGAGAGAGAGCAUAAGCUUACAGGGCGGAGACCCCGAACUCCCAAGAACCCAUCCCUUAUAAAAGCUGGCAACCGCUGCCUCGGACGUGUUACCCCCUGACUCGCUGUAGCUCAUCGGACCAUAUGACGCC
rnacentral:lncRNA from 1 species